ensembl:lncRNA
CACACACACACACACACACAGAGAGAGAGAGCUGUCACACUGUAAGCGGUUCUCUAGAAGUCUGCCGUGAUUCAGAAGAUAAUAAAAGGUGAAAUCUCCGUGCGGUAUUUUAGGUGUCUGAGGGUCCCGAGACCCCUCCACGAGCGCUCCGUCAUCUCAAGUCAUCAUGCUCUCCUUAGUGAGAUUCAGAGAGGAGGAUGCGGAAUGUGCGUAAACGCCGCGCGCACUGCCCAGCAGGCGCCGUCGCGUUCGAUGCCUGCGCGCGUCUCCAAGGAUGAAAGAGAGAAGAAUGCGCUCGGAUGCAAGCCGCCGCCGCUCGUGAAUGAAACAACGACCUCUCUCCUCGGUUCUCCACGCUCUCCUCCGCUCGGACGUGUUGGCUGUCCGCGAGGUUUUCAACCCCAACCUGUCGUCACCGCGUUGGCGCUGCGGAUUACACCGAGACGGCGAGGAUAGCAGCGCAUUGAUUCGAGGGAAGGGGAGACAGAUAGCGAGGCUGGAAGACGGAGGCGAGGAGAGAGAAAAAGCAGCUCGUCCAUCGAGACGUCCAGCGUUUCCACAUGUUUACAUCCCCACCACAACGUCCUGGGAAUGUUCUGAGGGUCGCUGGCCUUCACCAGGCGUCUGGGAAGAAGAUCAGUGGUGUGGACGCGUUGUGUUGUGCACGUGUUGUGUUGUGGACGUGUUGUGUUGUGGACAUGUUGUGUUGUCGACUUGUUGUGUUGUGGACGUGUUGUGUUGUGGACUUGUUGUGUUGUGGACGUGUUGUGUUGUGGACGUUGUGUUGUGGACGCGUUGUGUUGUGGACGUGUUGUGUUGUGGACGUGUUGUGUUGUGGACGUGUUGUGUUGUGGACGUGUUGUGUUGUGGACGCGUUGUGUUGUGGACGCGUUGUGUUGUGGACGCGUUGUGUUGUGGACGCGUUGUGUUGUGGACGUGUUGUGUUGUGUUGUUGUGUUGUGGACGUGUUGUGUUGUGGACGUGUUGUGUUGUGGGCGUGUUGUGUUGUGGACGUGUUGUGUUGUGGACGUGUUGUGUUGUGGACGUGUUGUGUUGUGGACGUGUUGUGUUGUGGACGUGUUGUGUUGUGGACGUGUUGUGUUGUGGACGUGUUGUGUUGUGGACGUGUUGUGUUGUGCACGUGUUGUGUUGUGGACGUGUUGUGUUGUUGUUGUGUUGUGUUAUGGACGUGUUGUGAACGUGUUGUGUUGUGUUUGUGUUGUGGUGUUGGAUGUCUUGUGGACGUGUUGUGGAUGUGUUGUGUUGUCGACGUGUUGUGUGUGUGUGUGUGUUGUGUUGUGAACGUGUUGUGUGUGUUGUGUUGUGGACGUGUGGUGUGUGUGUUGUGUUGUGUUGUGUUGUGGGUGUCUUGUGUGCGUCUUGUGUACGUGGUGUGGACUUGUGUCUAGCGGCUGAAGCCUGUGGUCCUGAAGACAGACAGACAGACAGACGGCCCUGCGGUCCUGAAGACAGACAGACAGACC